rnacentral:tRNA from 2 species
GGAGGGGUGCCGGAGCGGUCGAACGGGGCGGUCUCGAAAACCGUUAGGGGUGCAAGCCUCUCGAGGGUUCAAAUCCCUCCCCCUCCG